rnacentral:rRNA from 1 species
GUGGGGAAUAUUGGACAAUGGGCGCAAGCCUGAUCCAGCCAUGCCGCGUGAGUGAUGAAGGCCUUAGGGUUGUAAAGCUCUUUCAGUGGGGACGAUAAUGACGGUACCCACAGAAGAAGCCCCGGCUAACUUCGUGCCAGCAGCCGCGGUAAUACGAAGGGGGCUAGCGUUGUUCGGAUUUACUGGGCGUAAAGCGCACGUAGGCGGUUUGUUAAGUCAGGGGUGAAAUCCCGGAGCUCAACUCCGGAACUGCCUUUGAUACUGGCAAGCUAGAGUCCGGAAGAGGUAAGUGGAACUCCUAGUGUAGAGGUGGAAUUCGUAGAUAUUAGGAAGAACACCAGUGGCGAAGGCGGCUUACUGGUCCGGAACUGACGCUGAGGUGCGAAAGCGUGGGGAGCAAACAGGAUUAGAAACCCGUGUAGUCC